rnacentral:rRNA from 1 species
UACGAAGGGUGCAAGCGUUACUCGGAAUUACUGGGCGUAAAGCGUGCGUAGGUGGUUUGUUAAGUCUGUUGUGAAAGCCCCGGGCUCAACCUGAGAAUGGCAAUGGAUACUGGCAGGCUAGAGUGCGGUAGAGGGUAGUGGAAUUCCCGGUGUAGCGGUGAAAUGCGUAGAGAUCGGGAGGAACACCAGUGGCGAAGGCGGCUACCUGGACCAGCACUGACACUGAGGCACGAAAGCGUGGGGAGCAAACAGG